rnacentral:rRNA from 1 species
UACGUAGGUGGUUUGCUAAGUCCGAUGUGAAAUCUCCCGGCUUAACUGGGAGGGUGCGUUAGAUACUGGCAGGCUUGAGUGUGGGAGAGGAGAGCGGAAUUCCUGGUGUAGCGGUGAAAUGCGUAGAUAUCAGGAGGAACGCCUGUGGUGUAGACGGCUCUCUGGACCAUUACUGACACUGAGGUACGAAAGCGUGGUAGCAAACA